AGCAACCCGCUCGGGUCCCUUUCCAUGCUGUGGAAGCUCUGUUCUUUUGCUCUUCGCAAUAAAUCUUGCUGCUGCUCACUCUUUGGGUUUACACUACCUUUAUGAGCUGUAACACUCACCGCGAAGGUCUGCAGCUUCACUCCAAGCCAGCGAGACCAGGAACGCACCAGGAGGAACAAACAACUCCAGACAUGCCACCUUUAAGAGCUGUAACACUCACUGCAAAGGUCUGUGGCUUCACUCCUAAAGUCAGUGAGACCACGAACCCAACGAAAGAAACUCCGGACACAUCUGAAUAUCUGAAGGAACAAACUCCAGACACACCAUCUUUAAGAACUGUAACACUCACCGCAAGGGUCUGCAGCUUCAUUCUUGAAGUCAGCGAAACCAAGAACCCACCAGAAGGAACCAAUUCUGGACACAUUUUGGUGACCACGAAGGGACUAUUACCUAUCACUAAGCGAAUCAAGGCCAUCAAACUACAGAUGGUCUUACAAACGGAAACCCAAAUGAGCUCAACUAACAACUUCUACCGAGGACCCCUGGACCGACCCACUGGCCCUUUCACUGGCCUAGAGAGUUCCCCUCUGGAGGACACUACAACUGCAGGGCCCCUUCUUUGCCCCUGUCCAGCAGGAAGUAGCUAGAGCAGUCAUUGCCCAAUUCCCAACAGCAGAUGGGGUGCCCUGUUUAGAGGCGGGAUUGAGAGGUGAAGCCCCUGGACUUCCUGGGUCCAGUGGGGACUUGGAGAACUUUUCUGUCUAGCUAAAGAUUUGUAAAUGCACCAAUCAGCACUCUGUAAAAACGCACCAAUCAGUGCUCUGUGUCUAGCUAAAGGUUUGUAAAUGCACCAAUCAGUACUAUGUAAAAACGCACCAAUCAGUGCUCUGUCUAGCUAAAGAUUUGUAAACGCACCAAUCCGCACUCUGUAAAAAUGGACCAAUCAGCACUCUGCAAAAUGGACCAAUCAGCAGGACAUGGGCAGGGCCAAAUAAGGGAAUAAAAGCUGGCCACCCAGCCACCAGCACCCAACCUGCUCUGAUCCCCUUCCGCUGUGGGAGGUUUGUUCUUUUGCUCUUUGCAAUAAAUCUUGCUGCUGCUCACUCCUUGGGUCCGCACUACCUUUAUAAGCUGUAACACUGACCACAAAUGUCUGCAGCUUCGCUCCUGAAGCCAGCGAGACCACAAACCCACCAAGAGGAACAAACAACUCCUGACGCACCACCUUUAAGAGCUGUAACACUCACUGCGAAGGUCUGCGGCUUCAAUCCUGAAGUCAGCGAGACCACGAACCUACCAGAAGGAAGAAACUCCAGACACAUCUGAACAUCUGAAGGAAGAAACUGGACACACCAUCUUUAAGAACUGUAACACUCACUUCGAGGGUCCGCGGCUUUAUUCUUAAAGUCAGCGAGACCAAGAACCCACUGGAAGGAACCAAUUCUGGACACACCAGGAGCUGGAGACGAGCCUGGGUGUGCAACACAGAGAGACAAGACCCCCAUCUGUACCAAAAAUAAAUAAAAAUAGGAAGACUGGAUCAUAUUAAGUCUGUUCUCCAAGAAAACCAAAUUAAACGGCUGUGGAGAUGUA